UCCCUGGUGGUCUAGUGGCUAGGAUUCGGCGCUUUCACCGCCGCGGCCUGGGUUCGAUUCCCGGUCAGGGAA